GUGGGGAAUCUUGCGCAAUGGGCGAAAGCCUGACGCAGCCAUGCCGCGUGAAUGAUGAAGGUCUUAGGAUUGUAAAAUUCUUUCACCGGGGACGAUAAUGACGGUACCCGGAGAAGAAGCUCCGGCUAACUUCGUGCCAGCAGCCGCGGUAAUACGAAGGGGGCUAGCGUUGCUCGGAAUUACUGGGCGUAAAGGGAGCGUAGGCGGACAUUUAAGUCAGGGGUGAAAUCCCGAGGCUCAACCUCGGAACUGCCUUUGAUACUGGGUGUCUUGAGUGUGAGAGAGGUGAGUGGAACUCCGAGUGUAGAGGUGAAAUUCGUAGAUAUUCGGAAGAACACCAGUGGCGAAGGCGACUCACUGGCUCAUUACUGACGCUGAGGCUCGAAAGCGUGGGGAGCAAACAGGAUUAGAAACCCUUGUAGUCC
rnacentral:rRNA from 1 species